rnacentral:lncRNA from 1 species
UCCAAACUGUUUUUAUUAAUAUUGCUUUGGUCACUGUAGUUAGGCACCUUAUGCUAGACAUUCAGUUUUCAUCCAAACUGGUUUUCUGGAUAUUGCAAUGGUCACUUUAAUUAAACUUUAUUACUUGACUUUCAGUUUGCUCCAACUGUUUUUAUUAAUAUUGCUAUGGUCACUUUAGUUAGAUUUUUAAUGCUAGACAUUCAGUUUUGCUCCAAACUGUAUCUGGAUAUGCAUGGCCACUUUAGUUAAAC